UUGUAUUCAAAUUACGUUAAUUUUAGCUUAAAUUCAUUUUAAUUUUGACCCCAAAAUGCAAUCUCUAAUCCCAAUUUUAAUUUUAACCCAAAUUCAGACCCAAUUUUUAAUUUAUAAUCUAAUCCUUUUAGUUCUUAAAUCAUAGCCGUUGAUCGAUUAAAUCAUCCUUUUCUUCCAUUUUAAACAAAACCAAGCCAAACCCUAACAUAUUCUACAAGCAGCCGCAUCUACCUUCACUCUCGUCUCUCUCUGCCUGCCGCCGAUCGCCACCUCUUCCACAACAGGUUCAACCAUGGCUGGCGAAGCCUCCCCUCUCCCUAUACCCUUCUUUUCUCUCUCUUUGUUUUCCACCGGCGAAACGAGCCAUCAUCACCAACAACCCUCUCCGUCAGCCUCCACUGUUCUUCGGCCAAUAGACACUACAGCUCUCGCCAGCCCAUCCAGCUACUGUUACCGGCGUAAAUUGCAGUAAGCGCCACCUCCCUCAAUGUCAAAGCAGCCGCCGCCUCUCAACCAACAAACCCCAUGCUGCCACCAUCGACCAAAACCGCCGCCAACACCCAGUUCACCCCGGCCAUCAACACAGACAAAGCCAACCAGCGGGCACUGUCUGGUUUAAACUUCGCCGAAAAAAUAUUGUAAUUUAUGACAGAUUGAAUCCGUCCCAUGUUUGUUUUCUUAGUUUAAUUUUAUUUUUUAAACCCGUUUUUUUAUUUUUAUCUUUUUUUGGACAGGAUCUGUGAUUCGAAAUUGGCGCUAACUUGUCAUAUCUGAUUAGUCUUUCAAAGCUUUGUUCUUCUAUGAGUCCUGCUUUUAUUGUUUUUUCACAAUUGCAUAACUGUCCAUCCUAUAUGAAAUUGGUGUGCGACGUUUUCAAUACUUUAAAAUCUCAAAACUUAUUCUUGUCGCACCCCUUUUUCGCUCGUAGGGCCGAGUCAAAGGUCAAAGGUUUUUUAAUUAAAGUGAAAGUUUUGAAUAGAGAUUAUUUUAUUUACAGUGGCG
rnacentral:lncRNA from 1 species